rnacentral:rRNA from 1 species
CUUACGGCGAAGCUGAGAACUUAAGCGCCAGUAAACGGCGGUGGUAACUAUAACCAUCCUAAGGUAGCGAAAUUCCUUGUCGGGUAAGUUCCGACCUGCACGAAUGGCGUAACGACUUCCCCACUGUCUCAACCGCGAACUCGGCGAAAUUGCAUUACGAGUAAAGAUGCUCGUUACGCGCAGCAGGACGGAAAGACCCCGGGACCUUUACUAUAGCUUGGUAUUGGUGUUCGGUACGGCUUGUGUAGGAUAGGUGGGAGACUGUGAAGCAUGCACGCCAGUGUGUGUGGAGUCAUUGUUGAAAUACCACUCUGGUCGUUCUGGAUAUCUAACCUCGGUCCGUGAUCCGGAUCAGGGACAGUGCCUGGUGGGUAGUUUAACUGGGGCGGUUGCCUCCUAAAGGGUAACGGAGGCGCCCAAAGGUUCCCUCAGCCUGGUUGGCAAUCAGGUUUCGAGUGUAAGUGCACAAGGGAGCUUGACUGUGAGACAGACAUGUCGAGCAGGGACGAAAGUCGGGACUAGUGACCCGGCGGUGGCUUGUGGAAGCGCCGUCGCUCAACGGAUAAAAGGUACCCCGGGGAUAACAGGCUGAUCUUGCCCAAGAGUUCAUAUCGACGGCAUGGUUUGGCACCUCGAUGUCGGCUCGUCGCAUCCUGGGGCUGGAGUAGGUCCCAAGGGUUGGGCUGUUCGCCCAUUAAAGCGGUACGCGAGCUGGGUUUAGAACGUCGUGAGACAGUUCGGUCCCUAUCCGCUGUGCGCGUAGGAAACUUGAGAAGGGCUGUCCCUAGUACGAGAGGACCGGGAUGGACGAACCUCUGGUGUGUCAGUUGUUCUGCCAAGGGCACCGCUGAUUAGCUACGUUCGGAAGUGAUAACCGCUGAAAGCAUCUAAGCGGGAAGCACGCUUCAAGAUGAGGUUUCCAUGCCCCUUGUGGGUGAGAGGCUCCCAGCUAGACUACUGGGUUGAUAGGCCGGAUGUGGAAGCACAGCAAUGUGUGGAGCUGACCGGUACUAAUAAGCCGAUGACUUGACCCG